ACGGUAUCCCGUUCGGACAGGAUG
rnacentral:miRNA from 2 species